CGUAGGUGGCAAGCGUUGUCCGGAAUUAUUGGGCGUAAAGCGCGCGCAGGCGGUCCUUUAAGUCUGAUGUGAAAGCCCACGGCUCAACCGUGGAGGGUCAUUGGAAACUGGGGGACUUGAGUACAGAAGAGAAGAGUGGAAUUCCACGUGUAGCGGUGAAAUGCGUAGAGAUGUGGAGGAACACCAGUGGCGAAGGCGACUCUUUGGUCUGUAACUGACGCUGAGGCACGAAAGCGUGGGGAGCAAACAGGAUUAGAUACCCUGGUAGUCCACGCUGUAAACGAUGAGUGCUAAGUGUUAGAGGUUUCCGCCCUUUAGUGCUGCAGCUAACGCAUUAAGCACUCCGCCUGGGGAGUACGGCCGCAAGGCUG
rnacentral:rRNA from 1 species